AUCAAUUCAAAUGUCCAGGUCUUUUGCAUUUCUGCUUAAAUAACUGAUCAGUAUGAUAUAUUUUAAAACAUAUAUACCUGGAAAUAUAAUAAAAACUAACAAAUAGACAUUAAAAUUGACGCAUAACAUAGAAAUGUAUCAAUUAUAUAAAAUUUCAGGUCAGUUCAAAUUUUCAGGUCAAUUCAGAUUUUCAUGUCUUUUGUAUUCCUGCGUAAAUAACUGAUCAUUAUGAUAUAUUUUAACACAUAUUUACUUACAAAUUUCAUUCAAAACCCAACGAAGUCAUUUCAUUUGACCAAAAUCUUAGACAAGUAUCAUUUAUAUAAAAUAGACAAUAAUAAAAAAAAUAGAAAGAUGGUGGAGUUCUUGAUUUGUCUGAUGCUAUCCAUAUAGAAUGUCUGAGACUUUCAUUCAUGUCAUCCAUAAUGACCUAGAAAGAGUGAUUGACACAUUGAAUAAUCAUACAAUUAGAAAACAAACACACUUUGUCCAUCGAGUCGUCAAUCCUUUUUAUAUAGCAACCCAGAAGUAUUUGACUAUUACUAUAUAAAAAAGGAUAUAGACAUAAAAAUUCUUAAUAUGUCUGAAAAUAUUCAGGCAACUGAAAAUGAUUUUGUAAUGGGCUCAUCUAACGAGUUUUAUGAAUUGACUUAUAGAAACAAUGUGGCCUCCAAAUCUCUUGCUCCCAAGCACGUUACACGAGGCUAUGGGACUUUUUGGGAACCUGAUAACGGUUUUUAAAGUUUAAUGAUGUUACAUAUUUUCUGCAAAAAUAAAAUUAUAAAUGUUAAACACACA
rnacentral:sRNA from 1 species